rnacentral:rRNA from 1 species
GACGAACGCUGGCGGCGUGCUUAACACAUGCAAGUCGAACGGAAAGGCCCUGCUUUUGUGGGGUGCUCGAGUGGCGAACGGGUGAGUAACACGUGAGUAACCUGCCCUUGACUUUGGGAUAACUUCAGGAAACUGGGGCUAAUACCGGAUAGGAGCUCCUGCUGCAUGGUGGGGGUUGGAAAGUUUCGGCGGUUGGGGAUGGACUCGCGGCUUAUCAGCUUGUUGGUGGGGUAGUGGCUUACCAAGGCUUUGACGGGUAGCCGGCCUGAGAGGGUGACCGGCCACAUUGGGACUGAGAUACGGCCCAGACUCCUACGGGAGGCAGCAGUGAGGAAUAUUGCACAAUGGGCGGAAGCCUGAUGCAGCAACGCCGCGUGCGGGAUGACGGCCUUCGGGUUGAAAACCGCUUUCGCCUGUGACGAAGCGUGAGUGACGGUAAUGGGUAAAGAAGCACCGGCUAACUACGUG